AUAAGCAAAAUAAGGGCGUAUGGGGGAUGCCUGUGGCUCUCAGAGGCGAAGAAGGACGUGAUAAGCUGCGAAAAGCUACGGGGAUUGGCACACACGAAUUGAUCCGUAGAUAUCCGAAUGGGGCAACCCACCAUGUUGAAGACAUGGUACUCCGAUAGGAGGGCAAACCCGCUGAACUGAAACAUCUAAGUAGSCGSAGGARRAGAAAACAAAMGUGAUUCCSURAGUAGUGGCGAGCGAACGCGGAUUAGCCCAAACCAAGGUUGUUACGGCAAUUUUGGGGUUGUAGGACCACGACAUUUCUUGCAAACUGAACUGGAAGCAUCUGGAAAGUUGCGCGAUACAAGGUGAUAGCCCUGUACAGGUAAGGAAUGUAAAGGAUAGUGGUAUCCUGAGUAGGGCGGGGCACGUGAAACCCUGUCUGAAUCUGGCGGGACCAUCCGCUAAGGCUAAAUACUCCUGAGAGACCGAUAGUGAACCAGUACCGUGAGGGAAAGGUGAAAAGAACCGUGAAUAACGGAGUGAAAUAGAUCCUGAAACCAUACGCCUACAAGCGGUCGGAGCCCACAAGUUGGGUGACGGCGUGCCUUUUGCAUAAUGAGCCUACGAGUUACCGUUGCUGGCAAGGAUAAGCACUUCAGGUGUGGAUCCGUAGCGAAAGCGAGUCUGAAUAGGGCGCUUUAGUCAGUAGUGGUAGACGCGAAACCGUGUGAUCUACCCAUGGGCAGGAUGAAGCUGUGGUAACACACAGUGGAGGUCCGAACCGGUUGACGUUGAAAAGUCUUCGGAUGACCUGUGGGUAGGGGUGAAAGGCCAAUCAAACUCGGARAUAGCUCGUACUCCCCGAAAUGCAUUUAGGUGCAGCGCUGGAUUUAAGUUAUAUAGAGGUAGAGCUACUGAUUGGAUGCGGGGGCUUCACCGCCUACCAAUUCCUGACAAACUCCGAAUGCUAUAUAAUGUUUACCAGCAGUGAGGGCAUGGGUGCUAAGGUCCAUGUCCGAGAGGGAAAGAACCCAGACCAYCAGCUAAGGUCCCCAARUGWAURCUAAGUUGAAMAAASGMGGUYYGKCUGCYSAGACAGCYAGGAKGUUGGCUUGGAAGCAGCCAUUCMUUUAAAGAGUGCGUAACAGCUCACURGUCGAGCGGACGAGCAUGGAUAAUAAUCGGGCAUAAGUAUACUACCGAAGCUAUGGAUUUGUAUGUAAAUACAAGUGGUAGGGGAGCAUUCUAUGGGCGUCGAAGGUGAUAUGUGAGUAUUGCUGGAGCGCAUAGAAAAGAAAAUGUAGGCAUAAGUAACGAUAAUGCGGGCGAGAAACCCGCACACCGAAAGACUAAGGUUUCCUCAGCUAUGCUAAUCAGCUGAGGGUUAGUCGGGUCCUAAGGCGAACCCGAAAGGGACAGUCGAUGGCCAACGGGUUAAUAUUCCCGUACUACUUAUAGUUGUGAUGGGGCGACGGAGUGAUGAAAGCGCCGCGAACUGACGGAAUAGUUCGUUAAAGUACCUAGCUAUAGAUCCGGUAGGCAAAUCCGCCGGAUUUGGUGAAAUACGAUAGUACUCGGAGCCUUCGGGCAAAGAGAUAGUGCGCCUAAGGGCUUCCAAGAAAACCCCCUAAACUUAGAUUAUAAGUACCCGUACCGUAAACCGACACAGGUAGUCGAGGAGAGAAUCCUAAGGUGCUCGAGAGAUUCAUGGCUAAGGAAUUAGGCAAAAUAGACCUGUAACUUCGGGAGAAAGGUCGCCAGCAGCAAUGCUGGCCGCAGUGAAAAGGUCCAGGCGACUGUUUAUCAAAAACACAGGGCUCUGCAAAAUCGUAAGAUGAAGUAUAGGGCCUGACACCUGCCCGGUGCUGGAAGGUUAAGAGGAGAUGUUAUCUUCGGAGAAGCAUUGAAUUGAAGCCCCAGUAAACGGCGGCCGUAACUAUAACGGUCCUAAGGUAGCGAAAUUCCUUGUCGGGUAAGUUCCGACCUGCACGAAUGGUGUAACGAUCUGGACACUGUCUCAGCCAUGAGCUCGGUGAAAUUGUAGUAUCGGUGAAGAUGCCGAUUACCCGCAGUGGGACGAAAAGACCCUGUGCACCUUUACUAUAGCUUAGUAUUGACCUUGGAUAAGUGAUGUGUAGGAUAGGUGGGAGACUAUGAAGCGGCGUCGCCAGGCGUUGUGGAGUCAUUGUCAGAGAAUUUCCAUUGCUUUGCACCUGAUUUAUUAGGUUUUGGUGAGUCGGAAAAUCCAAAUA
rnacentral:rRNA from 1 species